CCUACGGGCGACAGCAGUGAUGAAUAUUGGUCAAUGGACGAGAGUCUGAACCAGCCAAGUAGCGUGAAGGAUGAAUGCCCUAUGGGUUGUAACCUUCUUUUAUAUGGGAAUAAAAUGUUCCACGUGUGGGAUUUUGUCUGUACCAUAUGAAUAAGGAUCGGCUAACUCCGUGCAAGCAGCCGCGGUAAUACGGAGGUUCCGAGCGUUAUCCGGAUUUAUUGGGUUUAAAGGGAGCGUAGGUGGAUUGUUAAGUCAGUUGUGAAAGUUUGCGGCUCAACCGUAAAAUUGCAGUUGAAACUGGCAGUCUUGAGUACAGUAGAGGUGGGCGGAAUUCGUGGUGUAGCGGUGAAAUGCUUAGAUAUCACGAAGAACUCCGAUUGCGAAGGCAGCUCACUGGACUGCAACUGACACUGAGGCUCGAAAGUGUGGGUAUCAAACAGGAUUAGAUACCCUAGUAGUC
rnacentral:rRNA from 1 species